AUCCAUCUUAUGAGUUCAAAAUAGGACGAAACGCGCAUCCUGAAU
rnacentral:hammerhead_ribozyme from 1 species